UACGAAGGGGGCUAGCGUUGCUCGGAAUCACUGGGCGUAAAGGGUGCGUAGGCGGGUCUUUAAGUCAGGGGUGAAAUCCUGGAGCUCAACUCCAGAACUGCCUUUGAUACUGAAGAUCUUGAGUUCGGGAGAGGUGAGUGGAACUGCGAGUGUAGAGGUGAAAUUCGUAGAUAUCGCAAGAACACCAGUGGCGAAGGCGGCUCACUGGCCCGAUACUGACGCUGAGGCACGAAAGCGUGGGGAGCAAACAGG
rnacentral:rRNA from 1 species